UACAGAGGGUGCGAGCGUUAAUCGGAAUUACUGGGCGUAAAGCGUGCGCAGACGGUUGCGUAAGUCAGAUGUGAAAGCCCCGGGCUCAACCUGGGAAUGGCAAUGGAUACUGGCAGGCUAGAGUGCGGUAGAGGGUAGUGGAAUUCCCGGUGUAGCGGUGAAAUGCGUAGAGAUCGGGAGGAACACCAGUGGCGAAGGCGGCUACCUGGACCAGCACUGACACUGAGGCACGAAAGCGCGGGGAGCGAACAGG
rnacentral:rRNA from 1 species